rnacentral:rRNA from 2 species
GUCGAACGGGAUUUAGUAGACAGAAACCUCGGUGGAAGAUUACUAAUGAGAGUGGCGAACGGGUGAGUAACGCGUGAGCAACCUGCCUAUGACAGUGGGAUAGCCUCGGGAAACCGGGAUUAAUACCGCAUAAAAUCGUAGAAACACAUGUUUUAACGGUCAAAGAUUUAUCGGUCAUAGAUGGGCUCGCGUCUGAUUAGCUAGUUGGUGAGAUAACAGCCCACCAAGGCGACGAUCAGUAGCCGGUCUGAGAGGAUGAACGGCCGCAUUGGAACUGAGACACGGUCCAAACUCCUACGGGAGGCAGCAGUGGGGAAUAUUGCACAAUGGGGGAAACCCUGAUGCAGCGACGCCGCGUGAACGAAGAAGGUAUUCGUAUCGUAAAGUUCUGUCCUAUGGGAAGAUAAUGACAGUACCAUAGAAGAAAGCUCCGGCUAAAUACGUGCCAGCAGCCGCGGUAAUACGUAUGGAGCGAGCGUUGUCCGGAAUUAUUGGGCGUAAAGGGUACGCAGGCGGUUUAAUAAGUCGAAUGUUAAAGAUCGGGGCUCAACCCCGUAAAGCAUUGGAAACUGAUAAACUUGAGUAGUGGAGAGGAAAGUGGAAUUCCUAGUGUAGUGGUGAAAUACGUAGAUAUUAGGAGGAAUACCAGUAGCGAAGGCGACUUUCUGGACACAAACUGACGCUGAGGUACGAAAGCGUGGGGAGCAAACA